AUUGUGUAGCUAAAAGUGCAAAAAAAGAAAGAAAGAAAGAAGAAAAGAAAAACUAUCGCCCACACCCUCCUUUUCCUCGUUCGCCACAUCCACCUUUUCUUAUUUGACGCCUUC
rnacentral:ribozyme from 1 species